rnacentral:lncRNA from 1 species
UGAGAAUCAGGACAUCAGGCCCCUCCCUCAGAAGACCAGCUGGAAGGACAGGGGAAAAGCAUGUGCUUGACCAAGAAGUACUAGAAAACUCAAGGGGAAGUCAAGGGAUUUACAGUAUAUAGAAUCAGAGGAUACCCCUCCUUCUUUGUUUGUUUGUUUUUCUCCUUUUUUUCUUCCUUUUUCCAGUACAACUCAUUUUUAGCCACUCUGAACUGAGCAAAAUGACUAGAAAGAAGAAAACACCACCAAAGAAAGAAUCAGAAACAUCCUCUCUCCCAUAGAGUAACAGAAUUUGGAUUACAAUUCAAUGGCAGAAAGCCAAUUCAUAAGCACAAUUAUAAAGCUACUGGUGGCUCUGGAAAAAAGCAUAAAGGAUUCAAGAGACUUCAUGACUGCAGAAUUUAGAUCUAAUCAGGCUGAAAUGAAACAUCAAUUAAAUGAGAUGCAAUCCAAACUGGAGUACCUAACGACGAGGGUUAAUGAGAUUGAACAAGUGAGUGACAUAUAAGACAAGUUGAUGGCAAAGAAGGAAGCUGAGGAAAAAAAGAGAAAAACAAUUAAAAGACCAUGAGGAAAGGUUAAGGGAAAUAAAUGACAGCCUCAGAAGGAAAAAAAUCUACAUUUAAUUGGGGUUCCAGAAGGCACCAAAAGGGACAGAGGACCAGAAAGUGUAUUUGAACAAAUCAUAGCUGAGAACAUCCCUAACCCAGGGAGGGAAACAAGCAUUCAGGUCCAGGAGAUAGAGAGAUCCUCCCCUUAAAAUCCAUAAAAACUGUUCAACACCUCGACACCUAAUACUGAAACUUCCAAAUUCCAAAGAUAAAGAGAAGAUCUUAAAGCAGCAAGAGAAAAGAGAUCCCUAACUUAUAUGGGGAGAAAUAUUAGGCUAACAGCAGACCUCUCCACAGAGACCUGGCAGGCCAGAAGGGCUGCAGGAUAUAUUCAGGGUCCUAAUGAGAAGAACCUGCAGCCAAGAAUACUCUAUCCAGCAAGGCUCUCAUUCAAAAAUAGAAGGAGAGAUAAAGAGCUUCCAAGAUAGGCAGAAACUGAAAGAAUAUAUGACCACCAAACCAGCUCUGCAAGAAAUAUUAAGGGGGACUCUAUAAAAGAAAGAGGACACACAAAGAAAUAACCACAAAAACAUGGACUAAAUAGGUAUUAUGAUGACACUAAAUUCAUAUCUUUCAAUAGUAACUCUGAAUGUGAAUGGGCUUAAUGAUCCCAUCAAAAGACACAGGGAUUGAGACUGGAUAAAAAAGCAAAACCCGGGGGGAGGAGCAAGAUGGCGGAAGAGUAGGGUCUCCAAAUCACCUGUCUCCACCAAACUC